rnacentral:rRNA from 1 species
UACAGAGGGUGCGAGCGUUGUUCGGAAUUACUGGGCGUAAGCGCGCGUAGGUGGUAUGUUAAGUCUGCUCGUGAAAUGCCGGGGCUCAACCCCGCGCGCUGCGAGGGAUACUGGCACGCUGGAGACACGUAGAGGCAAGCGGAAUUCCGGGUGUAGCGGUGGAAUGCGUAGAGAUCCGGAAGAACACCGGAGGCGAAGGCGGCUUGCUGGGCAUGAUCUGACGCUGAGGCGCGAAAGCGUGGGGAGCGAACAGG